GAUUGAAUAAGAAUUCUGGUCAAUUUAUCUUUGUUGAUAAACUUUUAAUAGUUUAGAUUUUCAGAGAACAACAAUUGUUUUACAUAUUUUAACAUAGUAUGAAUGUCACGCCCCAAGACCCGCCUUUGGUCGGAUUCGGGCACGCCAACAAACCGCCGAACGGAUAGAGUCUCUCCUGUACGUCCUAGGCGUCACAAUCCAUACAAUUCGCGAUAUUCCAACCAGGAACAGAAUCCAAACAUAGAUUGCAUAAGGAAGGUAUCGAAAGCAUAAAUACUAUACUAUUACAAGCAUUCACCACUUUCAGUUUACACAUUACAUUUUUCCUUUCCAAAUACAACCAAGUUAUUACAAAUUGUUUUCUUCUUCUCCGUUCUACACCCCUAAGCUAAGCUGACUUGGGGUAUUGCUAUCUCUGGUCUCUGUGGUAGGGCGCUAUCUACUGAGCUACGCCCUUUCCUCGCGCCGUUGCGCCGCUCGCGUGUGGACCUGAAAAACGUGGGAUGAGAACUAUAUAAAUAUAGUUUUCAGUGGGUACGACCACCCAAAGGAAGAGCUUGACCCAUUAGGUCUAAAGGAGGCAAAACAACAUGUUAGUCUAACAGAUAGAUAUAUCAUCAUAUAAUUUUAAGCAACUAACAGCUAUCAUGCUUAUGCCUUACAACAUGCAACCAUACAAAUCAUGCAAUCAAUGCGAGUAGAUUUACUGAUUCUACUUUCUAUCCCACUGUCAAUAGCUCAUCCAACUAACCCUCAUCCAACUAGCUUCUAAGAUUUCUUUUACCUUAGAUCCAUAUCAUUUACCAUUUGCUCAUAAGGUUUCCUUCUACCUUAGCCAAGCUAAUCACCCGACUCGGUCUCGAGUCAAUCAUCCGCGAAAUACUGCUCAUGUCCAGGCCUGCGGAGAAGGACGUCUCAUAUGCACCUCAGUCUGAAAUCCACUCGGCUGUAAAUCAUCCACAGCCCACUGCUUUACUUGACUUAGCCACAUGGCGGCGAAAUCGUCGCACAUGUCGAACAAUGGCUAAAGUCAACUGGCGGCAAAAUCCUCUACCUGGCUUAACCAUCUGGUGACGAAAUUGUCGCACACGCCGAACAAUGGUUCAAGCCUCCGGGCGGCGAAAUCGUCGCACACACCCCUUCCCUUGGUAUCAAAUCCCAGCGGCGAAAUCGUCGCACAUGCCCACUCCUUGGUACCAAGGUCACCAAGAACACUGAAUGUGCACAUCCGUCCAUUUCCAAGUCAACCUCUCUAGGUUCGUGUUCUCACUUCCAUGUGGUCACCUCGCCACUACACCUCAUAACCUAUGUUUAAUAACGCUAAGUUUUAUGUCAUUUUCACCUAGAUUCACUCGACUUUAGGUUCACUGUUCAACCUAUGUUCAAUGACACGGUUUAAUGCCACUCAAGCUACUUGUUAUCCUAAUUGUCUACACCUAGGAUUCAUAGUUUUCAUGCCACACUUGUCGAGUUCUGUAAUCAUCCUAGAGUUUAUUGACCCAAGUUCAUAUUCAUAUGAAUCUAACAUAUUCUAACAAUAUGUCGACAUGCAUGUGUCCUCUAGUAUCUCAUGCACAUGCCUAUAUCAUCAUCAUUAUCCAAUGGUAGGUAACCUCAUCUAGCAGUAUAUGUUUUAUACAUCCAUAUACACAACAUAUAAACCUACCAUGAUAUAUAUGCAUAAUGAUAAAACCAUACUUCACUUUGACAUGGAAGCGACCUAAUCACUUCGGUGAAGCACAACCCACCUCACAACACUUCCGAUUGCUUGUAGACACUUGCAAUUGGGCUCACGCGGCACUUGUAACCCGGUUCGGCUCGAACUCGCAAUCGACCACCGAACGCAUUCCGAUUUCCAACCUAGAGUUAUUUGGGGCUCUCCUCAAUCCUUCAAUUAGAGAAUUAGGAGAUCAAUUAGGUUCAAAACCCUAAAACUUCAAAACCCCCAAUUCCAAACCCUAGCUUCUCAUACCCUCCAAAAAUCAUCCUAAAUCUAUGGAGGAACAUGUUUAUCUAGCUUAGAAUCAACUAAGGAUCUCUAGAACACCAUUCACAAAGGAUUUAAUCCUAAUCCUAAACUUUUAACCCAAAUACAAACCUCGAGUUGGAAGCACGUCGCACUACCAAGCGCUUCUCACUACCAACCGCUUGAGAACUCGAUCCACCGCUCUCUACGCGUUCCCAAGCUCGUUCUCCACCAAAACCCCAAGUUUGGAAGGGAGAUCUAGAGAGGAAAAGAGAGGAAACUAGAGAGAGAAAGGAGAGUUUCUCUCUCUCUCUCUACCAUGUGUGUGUG
rnacentral:lncRNA from 1 species